rnacentral:lncRNA from 1 species
AUGCCUGAAAUGGAGGUUCAGAAUUCUGUUUCAUCACAAAGGUUUUAUGACAAUUCCCAGGAAAUCAGUGAACAAGGAAAUAAAAUUCAAGGUUGCGGCUGCCUUGGAUGUGAGGCUGUCUGCAUCUCAGGAGAUACAACCUGUAAUCCUCUGUGGGCAGAACUCUACAGUUUACGUGGUGGAUCAUUAUGUUUGUCUCAUAACCCCAUCCUCCCACCCCAGAUGGAUAACCAGCUUGCUAAGCACCAUUUAUUAUCCCAACACCAUCUUUUCUCCCAGUUCCCUAUGUCUAGACUAUUCAGAUCUGUUGAUCUGUCUACUUCUGGGCCAAUACCAAACUUUAAUGAGCAGAGCUUUCUUUUACUGCCUGAUAAGGAAGCUCAUCCCAAGAAAGUGAUCUAA